UGGCUGUUUCAGAAUUACUUAGAGAAUACAACCUAGGGUUGCAAAGUAGAAGUAGCAGAUCAAGGGAGGGGUAAGAACCCCUUUAUUUUGGCAUAGGCAUAUCCUACCUGAUACAAGUCUGUUGCAAGUACCAUACUUUGAAGGCAGCUUUGUCUAGCUGAAACCCAAGGACGGUUACCAGGGGAGGUGGGAGUCUUGGGAAUCGGAAGGGAUUACUUGGUAGCUGCUCUAAGUAUUUGAAGAGCUGUCAGAAUUUUUUUCCUUACUGGUGAGGAACUUACCUCUUUGUAGUGAGAUGAAUUGGACUGCAUUGUAGGUGGUGUGCUCACUACUCUAAGUGACCACAGAAGCUGGAGAAAGGAUUUGACCCUUCCAAGUGUAGAGAGGAAGAAUGGUUGCCACAGUGACUCCUUAGGUCCCUCCCACCUCUGUCAUGAUUUUUCUGUAUUUUUUUUCUCAGAAAUAAACCUUUCCUCAUAGGGGAAAGAGUGAAUGCCAGUUGAGCCCUCACUAUAAAAGACAUGGCUGCUCACAAAUGCUCCACUGCGAAUUCCUCAGGAAUCUUGAAAUUGGUGGUGGAAUCUCCAUUUUACAGAUGCAACAACAUUUUCCUCACUUCCUGGAAAUGGCUCUGUUCUAGCCUUUCAACAUUAUCCAGGAGUACCUGGGAGAAGAGCCUGGUAAAACACAAUGAACUGCGGCCAGGGUCACUACUGUUUUGAAGAAUAUGAUCAGAAAUCUUCUCCCUGGCUGGGCACAAUGGCUCACUCCUAUAAUCCCAGUACUUCGGGAGGCUGAGACAGGAGGAUGCCUGAGAAUAGGAGUUCAAGACCAGCCUGGGCAACAUAGCAAGACUGUAUCUACAAAAAAAUGCAAAAAAGUUAGCCACACAUGGUGGCACAUACCUGUAGUCUCAGCUACUCGGGAGGAGAGGAUCACUUGAGCCUAGGAGUUCAAGGCUGCAGUGAGCUAUGAUUGCGCCACCACACUCUAGCCUGGAUGACAGAGAGAGACCCUGUCUCUUAAAAAACAAACAAACAAACAAACAAAAACACUCCCUGUGUUAAACCUGCAUGUGAAAAAUCAGCUUUUUUCUAUAGAAGUGAACUAAGAAAUUACUUAAUGGAAAAGAAUCUUGAAUUUAAACAACCUAAAUUAAUGAAUGCAAUAGUCUGUGAUAUAGUUUCAUAACUUUACUGUCUACUCUUAGAGUCUUUAAAACAAUGUAACCUUUCUCUACCAAGUGGUGUUUAGAUUGUUUUCUUCUCCCUUCCAAAACAUUUCUAGAAAAGAUGCUGUGAAUGUCACAUAUGCUUCCUGGCUACACUUGAGGUCUCAAGGAAUGGAUGUGCCUGAUUCUGUGUCUUACCAGAUAAAGACACUCAUUGAGGAUGCUCUAGGAACCCACAAGGUGGAGAAGAGGUGCCCCUUCCUUGAAGUCUUGAUCUGUUGCCCAGGCUGGAGUGCCGUGGUGCAAUCUUGGCUCACUACAACCUCCGCCUCCCGGGUUUGAGCGAUUCUCCUGCCUCAGCCUCCGAAGUAGCUGGAACUACAGGCUCACGCCACCAUGCCCAGCUAAGUUUUUGUAUUUUUAGUAGAGAUGGGAUCUCACCAUGUUAGCCAGGAUGGUCUCGAUCUCCUGAUCUCAUGAUCUGCCUGCCUUGGCCUCCCAAAGUGCUGGGAUUACAGGUGUGAGCCACCAUGGCUGGCCGGAAGAGUUUCUUAAAAAGUGACUCAGUGACUGGGUAUGGUGGCUCAGACCUGUAAUCCUAGCACAUUGGGAGGCUAAGUCAGGAGGAUCGCUGGAGCUCAGGAGUUCGAGACCAGCCUGGACAACAUAGUGAGACCGCGUCUAUAUAUUUUUUUUAAGUGACUCAGCAUUUUGUGAGGAGUAAAAGAGAUGACACAUAAAUAAGGUACUUAGCACUGACACAGUAAAUGCUCAAGAAGUUUGUUUUAAAGCCCCUCAACUGCUCAUGUUUGAACCUCUAUUAUUUUUGUUAUUUGAUAAAUACUAAGGGUGGCAGGUAAAGAAAAGGACAAUCCCUUCAAGGCAGGAGGACUAGCAAGAGCGUACACCUAGAGGUAGAAAGAUACCUGGUACGUUUGUGGGGGUGGGGGACAUAAGCUGACGAGACAGGUGAAAGCGGAAGUCUUUAAUUUUCAAAAAAAUACGGAAGUAAUGGGAAAUGAGGCAGGAAAGGCCUCAAAUGCCAAACUGGAGAGCCAGCUUUAGUUGGAGAAAGGCAGUAGGAAGUACCUCUGUUCAAAACGACAACAGAACUCAAGAAGUUCCUGCCUUUCAGAAAGGCCCAAAUCAGGAGGAGCCCCGCUGCCCUGCAGAGCUCCCUUGUCAUUCAUAAAGGACAAAGGAUCUGAGAAACAGGAAGCCUUCUGAGAAGUUUUCUAGGACUUUGGAAUGUAAACUUAUUCACCAUGAGUGAAGGAUAAACUCCAGCCAGUGGGAUCCGAUUCUGCAGGGUGGUAGUGGUGGGGGAGGGGGUCUGUGGCGGGUGCUCUGAGGUGAGAGGCAGUGAAAGCGGAACCUUCUUCCUAGGGCCCCUGGAAGCCGAGCAUCCUGGGUGGAAAUCCAGUGGAGUCUGCUUCCUGCCUGCUGGUCCCGACGCUGAAGUGCAAAAGGGAGAAAAUGGAUGUUGGGAAAUAGUCCAGGAACAUUCAGCAUCGGCUGGGAAGUUAAACCAAAUGCAAUGUGAGGAAACCAAGACUGAGAAGUUGCAGUGAGCAUGGUAUCAUGGACCAUCUGGAACUCAAAACCCCUCUCCUGUGGGGAACUCAUCCCCAUAGUUUCAAUUAUUCAGUCUACCCUUAGUCAGAGGGAUGAACACGUACACAGCCUUGGCCAGUCAGAACAUCUUACCCUGUUGGUCACAAUGGCUGGUCCAUCAACAGCCCUUGACCCAGGCUGAGUCAAACAGAAACUUCCCUGGAACUUUUCUACCAGGGAAGAUGUGAUCCUUGUCUCCAGGAAGUUGCCGCAAGGUAAAUCUGGGGCUUCUGGUGGUCACUACACUCACAAAGUAGAGCAUGCUUAUCUGAAAGGUAGAAAAAAAGAUCAUUUGAGCCCCUCAAUGCAGCAGUGCCUGAAAUUUUCUGUACUCUUGAAUCACCCACAUUGCAUAACCCUAUAAACUUCUUGUUUGCUGAA